UACAGAGGGUGCAAGCGUUGUUCGGAAUUACUGGGCGUAAAGAGCUCGUAGGUGGUUUGUCGCGUUGUUCGUGAAAACUCACAGCUUAACUGUGGGCGUGCGGGCGAUACGGGCAGACUGGAGUACUGCAGGGGAGACUGGAAUUCCUGGUGUAGCGGUGGAAUGCGCAGAUAUCAGGAGGAACACCGGUGGCGAAGGCGGGUCUCUGGGCAGUAACUGACGCUGAGGAGCGAAAGCGUGGGGAGCGAACAGG
rnacentral:rRNA from 1 species